CUUCUGUGAUGAUAAAUUCUAAGGCUGUUUCUCAAAACAUUCGCAGUAGCCGCCUGAAAGCUUUCGCCUUUCGCCUGGCUUGAGAGCUUCUGAUGCUUAUAUUCUUCCUUGGAUAUCUGAGAUC